CAGCAGACCUCCCUUCGCAGCGGCCCUUCUCCGCCGGGGAGCCGUGGUCCAGCCCUGCCCGGCAGCAAUAGAACUGCCUGACAUGAUUUCUGUGUAGAAUGUAGUAGGUGAUACAGAGGAGAUAAGGAGAAAGAGAGUUCUCUAGCCUGUACAAGGUGAGAUAUGACAUGUGUCAGGCUUUGGAUACUUCACGCGUGUCCAGAUAUUCUCAUGCAAGUCUGCCUGUUUCAAUACCUUGAGGUGGUGGAAGCAUACUAGAAACAGAAGAACUAAGAAUGGUCUUGGAAAUUGAUUAUAUCUUUGACCUGGUGGGGAAAUGUUAUUGGACGGAUUUUGUAAUGGUCUCAGUUGUGUUCAUUUUCCAAAACCCACACUAACUCUUAGUCAAAUAUGAGAUUAAAAAGGACUACACUCAUUUUUAAGAAAUCUACUUUCACAAUUUCCAAUUUUCCUGGGGUAAGUGAAGUAGUGAAAAAAGGCUGCAAAACUAAAUGGGUUAAAGCAAAAUAUAUUUAUCCUACUGAGAAAGUCCUUUAUCCAACUGAAGUUCUUAUUUCAAGCAGUUUAGGCUCCAUAUUAGAUUUGCUUGUAUAGUGGACCAAUGGAAAUUCCCUUUGUAUUCUUGAUCUUUUUCCCAUUUGCUUUUUAAGAAAAAUCUAAAUGCAUAGAGAUAUAAUAUUAUAUAUUCUAGUCACUGUAUGUGUGUCUGUGUAUUUAUUUCUAAUUGCUAUUUCUUUGAGUGCCACAAUAAUAAAUCAGGGCUUUGGCCAGCUAUUCCAACAAUUUCAUUUUACUCAGUGGAAAUAUUCUUGAUUUAUAUACAUAGUCACAUGAUAAGAAUUUGACCUUCUGUUUAGUUUUUUGUUAUGCUGUAUGUACAAUAACAGUAUAAUGAACUUGGGCCAUUUCAAUGGCUGUGCUGACAUUAACAAAUGGUCCUGGAACACAGCAAAGAUUCCUAAGCAAGAUAAGAUACUAUAAAUUUAGCUACUAGAGCACUGCAAGUGACGAUGCCGAGGUUUGAUUUUUAAACAGAAUAACUGUGUUAAUCCAGUCUCCAUUGAAUGCACAAAAGAAGAAUUAGUCGUAAUUAGGAAGAGACAAAUGACAGCAUUCACUUCUGGAAUUCUGGGCCCACAUAAGCAUCCAGUAACUGCUUUAGGUCUUUAGGUUUCUUAGUUGGCAGAAAAUGAAUUAUAUACAAGGGCAACUUGCAAACUGGAAGGAGGCUCCACUCUGUCUCCAGACAUACAGAACAUCUACAGAAUGAGUGAGACAGGUUUAUAAUAAUAAUUAUAGAAGGAGCUGGAAACAGGCUGAUUGCCUAAUAUGUUCCAUUUUCAUGUUACAUUUUCCUUGUAUUUGUGUUGUGUUCUAAUACCUCCUCUCAGGCUGCUACAAAUCAUCAAUUUAGCCUAGAAAGAAGUGUGAUCCUUUGUCUCAUGAAACUCUUUUUGAAUUUGUCUAAAUUAGAAACUGAAAAGAAAAUCAAUUUCUUUUCUGGGACCUGUAUUCCUGGAGAAAACUUUUGCAAUCUGCUAAAAUACUAUCUGAAGAUGAACAUCCUGAGCACGUAUCUGUUCUGCUCUGUAGAGGUGCCUGCAGAACUGCAAAUGCCCCAAAGUUUUCAGAGCUGUGAUCAUGGAAGUGUAAAGUGAAGGAGAAGAUAUUGUCUCUGCUUUCCAGACUCAGCAAAGCGCAAGCAUUUUAAUGAUGGGUAAAAAAAGGAAACACGAUGGACUUGGCUUUCUGGAAUGGUGGUGGUGGUAGUGGCAGCUCGUUUUCUGUUGUGGAAUAGAAGCCAGCCUUAGCUGCUAGCCAUUCAAAUGAGACUGACAGCUUAAGGUCAGGUCUACUUCUACACUGAAGAAUUAAGUUUAGGGGUUUUCCCUGGACAUGUUGGUUAAUUUACAAAUCAGAAAACUCUCUACGCCUCUCCGUUUUAUAUAAAGAUAGGAAAUUCUCUGCAGAAAAUGUGACCAUUAGACUGUGUUGUAUGAAUGUUCCAAAAUUUAAUAAAUGGUACAUAUACUGUGUCUGUUGAAACCAUGCUUAUGUGUCUUUAAGGAAUCAAUUACAUUGAAUGUCUAAUUACAUGUCCAUCAAAUCUUUCUUCUUUCAUUUAAUGUGCAAGACAAAUACAUAAAGAGAUAAAAUGUCUUGACUAAUCAAUGCACACCUAAAAAUUAAUUUGACAUUUUCUCAGAUUCUUAGUCCUUGCAUCCUAAAAAUAUUUUUUGAAAAGCAGAAUAACAUUAGUUUUAAUAUUUCAUAGGCUGGCAAAUUCAUGCCAGAG